rnacentral:rRNA from 1 species
GAUGAACGCUGGCGGCGUGCCUAAUACAUGCAAGUCGAGCGAACGGACGAGAAGCUUGCUUCUCUGAUGUUAGCGGCGGACGGGUGAGUAACACGUGGAUAACCUACCUAUAAGACUGGGAUAACUUCGGGAAACCGUAGCUAAUACCGGAUAAUAUUUUGAACCGCAUGGUUCAAAAGUGAAAGACGGUCUUGCUGUCACUUAUAGAUGGAUCCGCGCUGCAUUAGCUAGUUGGUAAGGUAACGGCUUACCAAGGCAACGAUGCAUAGCCGACCUGAGAGGGUGAUCGGCCACACUGGAACAGAGACACGGUCCAGACUCCUACGGGAGGCAGCAGUCGGGAAUCUUCCGCAAUGGGCGAAAGCCUGACGGAGCAACGCCGCGUGAGUGAUGAAGGUCUUCGGAUCGUAAAACUCUGUUAUUAGGGAAGAACAUAUGUGUAAGUAACUGUGCACAGCUUGACGGUACCUAAUCAGAAAGCCACGGCUAACUACGUG